UACGUAGGGCGCAAGCGUUAUCCGGAAUUAUUGGGCGUAAAGAGCUCGUAGGCGGUUUGUCGCGUCUGCCGUGAAAGUCCGGGGGCUCAACUCCGGAUCUGCGGUGGGUACGGGCAGACUAGAGUGAUGUAGGGGGAGACUGGAAUUCCUGGUGUAGCGGUGAAAUGCGCAGAUAUCAGGAGGAACACCGAUGGCGAAGGCAGGUCUCUGGGCAUUAACUGACGCUGAGGAGCGAAAGCAUGGGGAGCGACAGG
rnacentral:rRNA from 1 species